AUUGAACGCUGGCGGCAGGCCUAACACAUGCAAGUCGGGCGAGCGGCGGACGGGUGAGUAAUGUCUGUGAAACUGCCUGAUGGAGGGGGAUAACUACUGGAAACGGUGGCUAAUACCGCAUACUAUCGGAUGAACCCAUAUGUGAUUAGCUAGUAGGUGGGGUAAAGGCGCACCUAGGCGACGCUCUCUAGCUGGUCUGAGAGGAUGACCAGCCACACUGGGACGGAGACACGGCCCAGACUCCUACGGGAGGCAGCAGUGGGGAAUAUUGCGCAAUGGGGGCAACCCUGACACAGCCAUGCCGCGUGAAUGAAGAAGGCCUUCGGGUUGUAAAGUUCUUUCGGUAGCGAGGCGUUAACUACAGAAGAAGCACCGGCUAAAUCCGUGCCAGCAGCCGCGGUAAUUC
rnacentral:rRNA from 1 species